UGUGGUCAACGCGCCGAUGCAGGGUUCAUCAUCCGUCUUCGUCAGGUGACUUUCCAUGUGAUUUCCACUUCUAAAAAUUAGAAAAUACCUUCAGAUCAAAGCAGCGGAUUUGUAGAUUUUUGGGUAUUGGUGCUACUCCAUCUCCAUCCAGCUUACGGUCUUUGGUCACUGAUUCUGAGCAUUGGGAAUGGCUGAACAGGGGACGACCAGGAUUACGAUGAGGGCGAGAUGUUGAAGCUAGCGUCGUCAAUUGUGACCACAACCGCGACCUUAACAUCGACCGUGGGAGCGAGGCGUCAGCCCUUGACAUAGACCGUGUUGGCCCCUUGUGUUUCUGACCAGCCGAGCUCCGGUUCCGGCAGCUCCCAUUCCAGCCGACCCCUUCCAGGAGC